rnacentral:rRNA from 1 species
AAAGCGUGCGCAGGCGGUUAUGUAAGACAGAUGUGAAAUCCCCGGGCUCAACCUGGGAACUGCAUUAGUGACUGCAUAGCUGGAGUACGGCAGAGGGGGAUGGAAUUCCGCGUGUAGUAGUGAAAUGCGUAGAUAUGCGGAGGAACACCGAUGGCGAAGGCAAUCCCCUGGGCCUGUACUGACGCUCAUGCACGAAAGCGUGGGGAGCAAACAGGAUUAGAUACCCGUGU